UGACGGUGGGGGUACACCCGUUCCCAUCCCGAACACGGCAGUUAAGCCCACUCGUGCCGACAAUACUUGGCUGGAAGCGGCCCGGAACGAUAGGUAGGUGCCAACA
rnacentral:rRNA from 1 species